rnacentral:tRNA from 1 species
CAAAAUGUAGCUUAAUCAAAGCACCUGACUUACACUCAGGAGAUUUCACUCCUCGUGACCAUUUUGA